UACGGGGGGGGCAAGCGUUGUUCGGAAUUACUGGGCGUAAAGGGUUUGUAGGUGGCCAACUAAGUCAGACGUGAAAUCCCUCAGCUUAACUGGGGAACUGCGUCUGAGACUGGAUGGCUUGAGUGCAGGAGAGGAACGCGGAAUUCCAGGUGUAGCGGUGAAAUGCGUAGAUAUCUGGAGGAACACCGGUGGCGAAGGCGGCAUCCUGGACCAAUUCUGACGCUGAGGAGCGAAAGCCAGGGGAGCAAACAGG
rnacentral:rRNA from 1 species